rnacentral:rRNA from 1 species
AACCUCCGCAAUGUGAGAAAUCGCGACGGGGGGAUCCCAAGUGCCAUUCUUAACGGGAUGGCUUUCCUUAAGUGUAAAAAGCUUUUGGAAUAAGAGCUGGGCAAGACCGGUGCCAGCCGCCGCGGUAACACCGGCAGCUCUAGUGGUAGCAAUUUUUAUUGGGCCUAAAGCGUCCGUAGCCGGUUUAAUAAGUCUCUGGUGAAAUCCUGUAGCUUAACUGUGGGAAUUGCUGGAGAUACUAUUAGACUUGAGACCGGGAGAGGUUAGAGGUACUCCCAGGGUAGAGGUGAAAUUCUGUAAUCCUGGGAGGACCGCCUGUUGCGAAGGCGUCUAACUGGAACGAUUCUGACGGUGAGGGACGAAAGUUAGGGGCGCGAACCGGAUUAGAUACCCGGGGUAUCCUAACUGUAAACGAUGCGGACUUGGUGUUGGGGUGGCUUUGAGCUGCUCCAGUGCCGAAGGGAAGCUGUUAAGUCCGCCGCCUGGGAAGUACGGUCGCAAGACUGAAACUUAAAGGAAUU